rnacentral:rRNA from 1 species
CCCUUCGGGGGAAAGAAUUUCGGUGAGGGAUCGGCCCGCGUUAGAUUAGUUAGUUGGUGGGGUAAUGGCCUACCAAGACUACGAUCUAUAGCUGGUUUGAGAGGAUGAUCAGCAACACUGGGACUGAGACACGGCCCAGACUCCUACGGGAGGCAGCAGUGGGGAAUCUUAGACAAUGGGGGCAACCCUGAUCUAGCGAUGCCGCGUGAGUGAUGAAGGCCUUAGGGUCGUAAAGCUCUUUCGCCUGUGAUGAUAAUGACAGUAGCAGGUAAAGAAACCCCGGCUAACUCCGUGCCAGCAGCCGCGGUAAUACGGAGGGGGUUAGCGUUGUUCGGAAUUACUGGGCGUAAAGCGCACGUAGGCGGAUUAGUCAGUCAGAGGUGAAAUCCCAGGGCUCAACCCUGGAACUGCCUUUGAUACUGCUAGUCUUGAGUUCGAGAGAGGUAAGUGGAAUUCC